UACGUAGGGGGCAAGCGUUGUCCGGAUUUACUGGGCGUAAAGGGCGCGUAGGCGGCGUGACAAGUCACUUGUGAAAUCUCCGGGCUUAACCCGGAACGGUCAAGUGAAACUGUCGUGCUAGAGUACAGAAGGGGCAACUGGAAUUCUCGGUGUAGCGGUGAAAUGCGUAGAUAUCGAGAGGAACACCUGCGGCGAAGGCGGGUUGCUGGGCUGAUACUGACGCUGAGGCGCGAAAGCCAGGGGAGCGAACGGG
rnacentral:rRNA from 1 species